AGCAGAUGUUCCCAUCUCUGCUCCCCUUCCCUUUAGGGUGGAGUCUACUUCCCCACUGAUGAUGGGCUUGGCCAUGUGACUUGCUCUGGCCAGUGGAACAUGGACAAAGAAGUCCACGUGACAGUUCUAAGCACCAGCUUUAGGAACUCUACAGUUAGAUCAAGCUCUAGAAGCCUGUCGUCCUUCAUUGUGGGCCCUGGAAGAAGAUGUAUAGGAUGGACCUGCGUCCUGAAACCUACAUUCAGCCUGAAGAGGAGCAGCUGCCAUGGACCUGCAGACUGAUUCUCUCACCGUGGACUCCAUAAAGGCUGUUGACUCCUGAGCUGAUAUAAACGCUGGUGUCCGGAUUUUGGAGCUCCAAACUAAGACGUGAGACUGAGGGUUCUACAAAGAUAACUGUGAGUGGGGAGAAAUAGAUGGAUGGAAAAUGACCCUCAAAGCUGGUAUGUCUAAGCUGGGGAAUGAAGACGGAGCAGCAAGCACACAGACUGGAUGUGAAAAUAAGCCUCUCCACUUAUUAGCCAAGUACUUUAACCUAUCUUAGCUUCUUUAUCUAAAUUUCCUUAUCUAUGAAAUGAAAAUAUCUCUUUAGGUGAUUCUUAAAGGAAUUAAAAGAGAUAAUGUCAAAGGAACUUUGUAAAACGCAAACAGAUGUGGGGCACUGUUGUUGAUAGACAGCCGAGCUGGGAUAGUGAUUAUCCUCAAGUAUUGAAGAAGUAUUCCAUACGGUUGUUGAAUCUGUACACUGAACAAGGAGUUGCAGCCAAAAUGGCCAAUGGGGGCUUGCCAGACUGUUGCCCUGGCUCAGACUAAAUUCAUAAAGGAUAUAAGAGCACCUUUCUCACGCUAAGGCAUCCUCUGCCUGGCAGGACAAGCACCCACCCAGAAGAGGUAUCUUUCCCCAUUCAGUUUCAUGAAGGUGCCGUGUAGGUUUUGCGCAUUUUUAUAUAAAUAUACAGCAGCAUUGUAUAUUCAAUGGUAGUCAAGAGGAUAAUGCUAGACAGUUGUUUUCCAUCUCCUCAGUGGAGAUGCAGUAUUUGUUGAACUUGAAGUUAAAGGAGAGCUCAGGCAAAGAGAAGCUCUGUUGAUCUAAGAGAGCUCAAACAUUAGACCACUUGAAGUGACAAUAGAAUAUCCAUUUUUGAAAAAUCUUUUAAGACAAAAUAGGAGAUCUUCUAGAUGUCUGCCAUCUAAACAUCUCUCUGACACAUUUUCUGGUUCUCUGAUUCUUAUAUUAUCCUGAGUUUAAAAGACUUUAAGCCUGCCCUGUGGCUUUUCCCUGGUUCACUCACCAGGAAAAAUAAAAAAAUUAUUUCUUUUUCUUAGUUGGAUUUG
rnacentral:lncRNA from 1 species